GUACAGAAUUAGCUUUUUAAUUACUAUUCCAGUCCUUUAAAUAGUAGUAAGUAUUCCUAAAAAUAAUCAGUUUUUACAACAUUGAUAUUUACAGUUUAUGAUUUUUAAUAUUGAUCUGACUUUAGUUAAGGUAUGAAAGUUAAUAUGCUGACCAAAAAGUUCCAUGCUUUUAUUUCGGUGUUUUAUAAAUUGAGCCCAAGAAAUUCCUUGGAACAUAAAUAUGAAGUACCUAGGGUUGGGGUGACAAAGUAAGGUAUUUUUUCAGAUGAGUUAUUUUAAAAUUGAAGCACACAUAAAAAUGAAGAUUUGAUUAAUAUGCAUGGUUUCCUGGCAUAUAGUGAACUCCCAGUGAGUGGUGGCUGUGGCUAUUAUUGUUUACUAAUUAAUUAGCCUAAUCUCUAGGGUGGAUCAAGAGAAGCUACAUUUUGAAAGACUUGCUCAAGAAGUCAUGUCAUGUAACUUGGCAUCGUGAAGAUUUGAUUGACCUGUUGCACAAUUGUAGUCUGAUCUUGUCAAGAGAAGACCUAAGACUGAGAAUCAGGAAUAGUUAUUUUUAAGCACUGCACUUGAUACUUAAAGCUUCAAAAAAGACUGCCCUUACUACCACAUGAGGACCAUCCUAUCCAUAUGCUCCAAAAGAUGGCUGUGAUAGAUCUUGUGAAGUAAUUCCUGAGCAGAUCAAGAUCUUUGGGAAUGAACACUAAAGAUGUUUUGAAUGACUCGUAGUCCACUGUCAUUUUAGUAUAUUUUUUUAAGAAACAAAAAUUACCUGUGAUUUUACAUUCCUGCAUGUCCUUUUUGGAUAGCAUUAAUGCAUCUAUUUGAUUUCUUUAUUAUUAUUUUUCUUUUUCUGACAAACAAAAACACUUAUCUGCAAUUAUGUAUGUUUUUCAGGCAAUGGUUAAUAAUUACAUUGAUGAUGUAGCAGCAAUUCUCUUGGCAGGGUUUUAAUAUAUAUUAGUAGUAAUUAAUGUGAACUGUGUUGAACUGAUCUGUGUAAAUUCUGUGUUAAACAUGAUGUAAAAGCUACUAAGAGUGUUUUGCACUAGCACUCCUUAACACUGAUGGAGGUCAUCGUUAGCUGUGAAGGUUGGAGUUGUAUAUAUCUGCACUGAUAUUCUUAUCAAAAACUUCUGCAUUAGCUUUGAGUAUUCAGGUUAAAACUUAGAUAUUGAGACUUUUGAAGCUUUUAGCUGGUUAAUUAGAAAAAAAGAGUAAUAUUUUGAUAGAAGUUUUAAAUUAUGAGGGCUAAUUUAUUUUUCAAAAGGAGAGAAGGAAACUAAAAUCCCUUGAUAGGACAUAGAGGAAAAAGAAUGGCCUAACGAAUAGAGCAGAAAUGUUUCCUGGCACUUCGGCUCAAUUGUAUCACAGCAAUAAUCCAUCGGUUGUUUAGAUUUUAGAAAAUCUAUAUGUAUUACUGGUGCAUAAUUUAAAGAUUGUUUUGCCUUUGGCUGAUUAAGUAAUACUCUCACGACACUAACUUUAGAGACUGCAGUGCUCUUACUAAGUACAGUUAAUGAAGUUUCAGUUGAUUUAGGAUGUCUUCCUGCUGCUAUUUCACAGCGUAUGAGCCCUUUUCUCUUUACACUGAAGGCUUUCUUCUUUAUCUUUUUCUUUUUUUUUAAUGUGGUUUAUUUCUGGCUCAGAAAUAGUUGCUGUGAUGGAAAUAUUCAUUUGUUAGAAAAGAAGGAAGCUGCAACAUCAUUUUGAAAGAACCAUGAGCUAAAAAAGCCGUAAGAAGUGGUUUCAUCUCUGUGUCAGGGGUGGCUCUUAAUAAGGUGGCUUUUUUUCCUGCAUGUAGGAUUAAAAUCAAAGAGAUUUUAUAUUUUUAUCAUUAUAGAUCAUGGUAACAACAUAGUGAGUUAUGCAUGCUGACUCAAUGUAGUAAAAACCCAAGUAAUAAGUUGGUAGAAAAGCAAUAAUUUUCUAAAGCUGUGGUAUGGGUGACACAGAGUUGACACUCAAAUUCGAAUAAGCUCUUAAUUCAUAUUGUGAAUUAUAGAAUACUACUUUUUAUAAAGCCAUAUUUUUUUAGGGAGACUUAGGAGUGACAUACAACUAAUAAAUCAGUAAAAUAAGUUUUACUGGAUUUAUGUAUAUAACCAUCUCUAGAACUCUGGAAAUUGAGGAUUCAUUAUGCUGUGAUCAACUUCAAAUACUUUUCAAUUCCACAUAUCUUGAUUAAUGAGCCUUGUAUUUACAAAUAUGUGCCAAGCUGUGCAACAUCAGUGUAUUUUUCUAAAAAUAAUGUAAAUGUCUUCUGUUUGGUGUUAUUUGAGUGCAAUAAAAUACAGAAGAAUUCUU